GGCAUCGGCCGGGAAUCGAACCCUGGGCGCACGCGUGGCAGGCGAGCCUUCAACCAUAGAACCACCGAUGC
rnacentral:tRNA from 1 species